rnacentral:rRNA from 1 species
AGUGCCAAGUUAAAGAAAGCACAAUGGUCUUUUUUUACUUCUAAAUCCUCCUUCUGACUAGAUUUCAUAAAUAGUCUUUCGUGUUGUCUAUAUUAGACAGUGUAGCCCAUCUCUUUCCAUUUCAUAUGCUGCACCUUGACCUGACGUGUUGGCGUAAAGGCGUUGGGCUCACUAGUUAGCGCUCACGAGGUAAGCUGACGACGGAGGUAUACAGACUGAACAGGCUAAAAAUGGUGAGGUAAAGCGGGGGUUAUCGAUUAUAGGACAGGCUCCUCUAGGUGGAUGUGGGGUACCGUCAAGUCCCUUGGGUUUUAAGCU